AUGGCAAGUAAACUAGUGGUCCUGUGCGCUAUACUACACAACAUCGCGGUAAGGAGUAGCGUAGAGCUUCCUCAGACAGAGGAAUUGCCUGAUGAGGAGCCAGGGGUUGUCCGACACUUCGGUGGGGGGAGUGUUACACGGAGGGGGAGCCAAGUCAGGGCAAGCAUUGUUGCGGAAUAUUUCAGCUGAAUGAUCACACAAACUGUGGACGACCACAACGGCAAGCAACACAUGAGGCACCAUCUCAGCCCCCUUCCCCUUCUCACUCCCCCUCCACUUCCCAGUCCCCCUCCCCUUCUCACUCCCCCUCCCCUUCCCAAUCCCCCUCAGCUUCCCAGUCCCCCUCAGCUUCCCAAUCCCCCUCUGCUUCCC